GACGAACGCUGGCGGCGUGCUUAACACAUGCAAGUCGAACGGAAAGGCCCUGCUUUUGUGGGGUGCUCGAGUGGCGAACGGGUGAGUAACACGUGAGUAACCUGCCCUUGACUUUGGGAUAACUUCAGGAAACUGGGGCUAAUACCGGAUAGGAGCUCCUGCUGCAUGGUGGGGGUUGGAAAGUUUCGGCGGUUGGGGAUAGACUCGCGGCUUAUCAGCUUGUUGGUGGGGUAGUGGCUUACCAAGGCUUUGACGGGUAGCCGGCCUGAGAGGGUGACCGGCCACAUUGGGACUGAGAUACGGCCCAGACUCCUACGGGAGGCAGCAGUGGGGAAUAUUGCACAAUGGGCGGAAGCCUGAUGCAGCAACGCCGCGUGCGGGAUGACGGCCUUCGGGUUGUAAACCGCUUUCGCCUGUGACGAAGCGUGAGUGACGGUAAUGGGUAAAGAAGCACCGGCUAACUACGUGC
rnacentral:rRNA from 1 species